rnacentral:rRNA from 1 species
AGGAUGUUGGCUUAUAAGCAGCCAUCAUUUAAAGAAAGCGUAAUAGCUCACUGGUCGAGUCGGUCUGCGGGGAAGAUUUAACGGGGCUAAGCAGUGAACCGAAGCUUGGGGUGCAUAACUUUGUUAUGCGCGGUAGAGGAGCGUUCCGUAAGCCGUUGAAGGUGGAUUGAGAAGUCUGCUGGAGGUAUCGGAAGUGCGAAUGCUGACAUGAGUAACGAUAAUGCGGGUGAAAAGCCCGCACGCCGUAAGCCCAAGGUUUCCUGUUCAACGUUCAUCGGAGCAGGGUGAGUCGGCCCCUAAGGCGAGGCUGAAAAGCGUAGUCGAUGGGAAACAG